UUUCAAGGCGCGUGCGGCACGUUCGAAGGAGCUGACAUGUGUUCUCACUGGACAGUUGAUGAAGAAGCGUCACAGGGGCAUCGUUAACCGUGUUCACAGCCAUUGUCAGCAGAGCUAAUUAAGUUUUAUUGGCUGCUUACGAAAUGAAAAGAAUCACCCGACUGAAACGGAUGGAGGAUGUAGUGUGAUCAAAGGCCAGUAUCCCUUCCAGUUCUUCAGUACAUCACGGAAGUUCCGGAAGUGAAGGGUAUCCAUCCGGAAGCAUCAGGAUCUAUAAUUCUGAGGUCGGUCUGAUGUAUAAGAGUCACAAGGGAGAGUCAGUCAGCUUCAAGAUACAAGUCAAAACAAAGAAACUAAGUGGAUAAAAACCAAGCACCUAAACAACAAAUACGAAUUUCCAGGACUCUCAGACGAUCCGCCGAAUCUUAGUGUUUUGAGAAGUUUAUUUACCGUCGAAAACUUCAUGUCUGGUAAUUUGCUGUGAGUUUUCCUAUUGGAUGUUUCCUUCCAUGCUGGAAAGAGUGGACAUGGUUCGGGAACGAGAAUACAACGAGAGCAACGACAAGGAUAGUUUUGUGAUCUGUCCCCACCACGGGUUUUUGAACCAUCCUGACCAACUGUCCU